GACGAACGCUGGCGGCGUGCUUAACACAUGCAAGUCGAACGGUAAGGCCCUUCGGGGUACACGAGUGGCGAACGGGUGAGUAACACGUGGGUGAUCUGCCCUGCACUUCGGGAUAAGACUGGGAAACUGGGUCUAAUACCGGAUAGGACCUUGGGAUGCAUGUCCUGGGGUGGAAAGCUUUUGCGGUGUGGGAUGGGCCCGCGGCCUAUCAGCUUGUUGGUGGGGUGAUGGCCUACCAAGGCGACGACGGGUAGCCGGCCUGAGAGGGUGACCGGCCACACUGGGACUGAGAUACGGCCCAGACUCCUACGGGAGGCAGCAGUGGGGAAUAUUGCACAAUGGGCGCAAGCCUGAUGCAGCGACGCCGCGUGAGGGAUGACGGCCUUCGGGUUGUAAACCUCUUUCAGCACCGACGAAGCGCAAGUGACGGUAGGUGCAGAAGAAGGACCGGCCAACUACGUGCCAGCAGCCGCAGUAAAAC
rnacentral:rRNA from 1 species